UUCCGGUUGAUCCUGCCGGACCUGACUGCUAUCGGAUUGAUACUAAGCCAUGCGAGUCAUUGUAGCAAUACAAGGCAUACGGCUCAGUAACGCGUAGUCAACCUAACCUAUGGACGGGAAUAACCUCGGGAAACUGAGAAUAAUGCCCGAUAGAACACUAUACCUGGAAUGGUUUGUGUUCCAAAUGAUUUAUCGCCAUAGGAUGGGACUGCGGCCUAUCAGUUUGUUGGUGAGGUAAUGGCCCACCAAGACUAUUACAGGUACGGGCUCUGAGAGGAGUAGCCCGGAGAUGGGUACUGAGACACGGACCCAGGCCCUAUGGGGCGCAGCAGGCGAGAAAACUUUGCAAUGUGCGAAAGCACGACAAGGUUAAUCCGAGUGAUUCGUGCUAAACGAAUCUUUUGUUAGUCCUAGAAACACUAACGAAUAAGGGGUGGGCAAGUUCUGGUGUCAGCCGCCGCGGUAAAACCAGCACCUCAAGUGGUCAGGAUGAUUAUUGGGCCUAAAGCAUCCGUAGCCGGCUCUGUAAGUUUUCGGUUAAAUCUGUACGCUUAACGUACAGGCUGCCGGGAAUACUGCAGAGCUAGGGAGUGGGAGAGGUAGACGGUACUCGGUAGGAAGUGGUAAAAUGCUUUGAUCUAUCGAUGACCACCUGUGGCGAAGGCGGUCUACCAGAACACGUCCGACGGUGAGGGAUGAAAGCUGGGGGAGCAAACCGGAUUAGAUACCCGGGUAGUCCCAGCUGUAAACUAUGCAAACUCAGUGAUGCAUUGGCUUGUGGCCAAUGCAGUGCUGCAGGGAAGCCGUUAAGUUUGCCGCCUGGGAAGUACGUACGCAAGUAUGAAACUUAAAGGAAUUGGCGGGGGAGCACCACAAGGGGUGAAGCCUGCGGUUCAAUUGGAUUCAACGCCGGG
rnacentral:rRNA from 1 species